UGAUAGUAAAUAAUGUAAUAAUAAUAAUAAUGGUAUAAUGAUGAUAUCAUAAAAAAUAAUAAUAAAAAUAACUUAAAAAAUGGACUAAAUUGAAUUAAAACGAAAAAAAGUGGGGCGGAUUUGAAAUAAAUUUGAAGACAGGACUAAAUUGAAUGCGCGCACAAAAGUUGAGGACCAAAAGAGAAAUUAUUCCUGCCUUCCAAAACGCUGCGCAGCGAUGGGCCAAAUUGAAACAAAAAAAAUUAAAUAUGCAGUUCAAUUAAAAGAAAACAAAACAGGUUUGAUCGAAGCGCGUUGCAAAAGGGAGAGACCAAUUAAGAAAAUUUCCCCUUAAUCCAGAACGCGUGGAUCCCUCCCUCCGGGUCGGGUCACCGCGCGGAUCGUGGCCACCUAAACGGCGCUGUUUCACCACUGUUAUUUAAAACAGUUUUCUUCCUAAGAACCAUUUUUGCAGCAGGAAAAGAAAAAAAAUAAAAAGAAAGCAGAACACCCUCUGCUAGGGUUUCAUCAUUCGCCCUAAAUCGCCGCUUGCCUACCGUUCAAAGGCGCUUCGGGUCUCAGCCCUUCGCCAGGCUCCCGAUUUGAGCGAAGCGAGUGUGGGCUUCAACGGCGAAGCUUCAAAGGUAAAACCCCUCCCUCCUUUUCUAAUUUUAUUUGUAAAACACAAUCAACAGUAAAGAAACAGAGAAAAGAUCAAAAAAAUGACGCGAUUCACCUUCCAAUUCCUCUGUAUUUUCAGUAUUUCUUUCCUCUUUUCUUCUUCUUUUCUUUACAGAUUAAAAAUCGGCCAUUUAUAGCCAAGAAGCACAAAAAUAAAAUAAAAUCAAAUAAUAAAAACUAUUUAUUCCGUGAUUUCCUACGUCUACUGUCAUUUAGAUCUGAUUUUCUAUAGGAAUGGAGGCCACGGAAGGGUGCGCACGUACGUUGAGGCGCAAAUCACGCGUAAGGAGGAUUCUGGCUCCGCGUCAUGCGGCGGUUGGAGUUACUGGAGGCUGCCACUAGGGUUUGGGGAAUUUGGGCUACUAGUUGGGCUAGGUUUAGGGUUAUUGGGCCUGUAAAGAACUUGGACUGCUUAUUUUUUUGUUUUGUAAGGGCCCGGGUAAAUUGGGCUUAUUACAAUACUAAACUUAAUUAAUAUUGUUUUCAGUUAUUUUUAUUUAUAUUAAAUCAUUUCAUAUUUGGAUAA
rnacentral:lncRNA from 1 species